rnacentral:rRNA from 1 species
GACAGAGGAUGCAAGCGUUAUCCGGAAUGAUUGGGCGUAAAGCGUCUGUAGGUGGCUUUUUAAGUCCGCCGUCAAAUCCCAGGGCUCAACCCUGACAGGCGGUGGAAACUACCAAGCUGGAGUACGGUAGGGGGCAGAAGGGAAUUUCCGGUGGAGCGGUGAAAUGCGUAGAGAUCGGAAAGAACACCAACGGCGAAAAGCAUCUGCUGGGCCACACUG